UACGUAGGGUGCAAGCGUUGUCCGGAAUUAUUGGGCGUAAAGAGCUCGUAGGCGGUUUGUCGCGUCUGCUGUGAAAACUCGGGGCUUAACCCCGGGCCUGCAGUGGAUACUGUCAGACUAGAGUGCGGAAGAGGCGAGUGGAAUUCCCGGUGUAGCGGUGAAAUGCGCAGAUAUCGGGAGGAACACCAAUUGCGAAGGCAGCUCGCUGGGACGUGACUGACGCUGAGGAGCGAAAGCAUGGGGAGCGAACAGG
rnacentral:rRNA from 1 species